UCCGCUUUACAGCGGCAGUCUCGCUAGAGUCCUCGGCAUUACCCGUUAGCAACUAGCGACAGGGGUUGCGCUCGUUAAUGGACUUAACCAAACACUUCGCAGCACGAGCUGACGACAGCCAUGCAGCACCUAGUUUCGUGUUCCGAAGAACUGAUUCGUCUCUGAAUCAUUCACUAACUUUCAAGCCCGGGUAAGGUUCCUCGCGUAUCAUCGAAUUAAACCACAUGCUCCUCCGCUUGUGCGGGCCCCCGUCAAUUCUUUUGAGUUUCACCCUUGCGGGCGUACUCCCCAGGUGGAAUACUUAACGCUUUCGCUUAGACGCUGACCGUAUAUCGCCAACAUCGAGUAUUCAUCGUUUAGGGCGUGGACUAC
rnacentral:misc_RNA from 1 species